ensembl:lncRNA
GCCUGAGCGGGGAUUUUUUUUAUAUAUAUCAAACUGCUGCUUACGUCUCAUUGCUUUGGGCAAUGAGACAGGAAAUGUCUGUCGUUUCACACCUCUAAACCCACUUACAGCGACGUGUAAGGCAACAGUGGCAAGUUCAGAAAAAGGACGACUUCCUCUCACCUCACGCUCACUUCUGUUACUGUUUGAGUUGUCCGUUUCCUGUAAAUCAAUUUAUGAUGAAACCAGAACAUCACAAGGGAAAGACAAGUUAAAUGAUUUUACAGGGGUUUAAUGGAAUAAUCUACAUUAGUAAAGCUCAGUUUUAUCAAUUACGAUAAAAAGUCGAUUUUUUAGUUACAGAUUUCAUUGUUGUGUGAGAGAGUGCAUGGAUUAACUGAUGUGAACAUCUGCUUAUGCUUUUAGUGUAUAAGAAGCAAUUCAAGACUCCUUGAAAAUUAGCAGCAGGAAACUACUGGAUGAUUAAAAUAUCUAUGGCAGGAGGAAAAUACUAAAGGUAUGUUCUCUUGCUUGCUAAUGCUUUUAAUCACUUUUCUGCAGCAGUUUGAACCCAUCAGAAUGAUGUAUUUCUGUGGUGGAGCGUCUGUGAGAGUAACUAUUAUUGGUGGCAAAGCUCCUAGCAAACACAACAAGCAGAGGAUGAGCAGACAAAGGAAACAAAAUGACUUGUAACCUGCUCAUUUUGUCUCGUUCACUACUCAGCUCACAUCUGUAUGAUGCAACUUGAUUAUUAUUGCUUAGUUUCAUAAAAAUCUCCCUAAUUUGUUUCUGCAGCAGCAGGAGAGUAAACACAUGUCAAAACAUGCUGCAGUCAGAGUUUGUUAAGGUGUGAUAAAAGGAAGGAAGUAGAGAAGAAGAAGUUUUAACGUCUUUGUUUUCUUCACAGUUCUCGGCGUCUCGUGUGCUUCUUCUUCUUUCUCUUCACACAAAGUCGUAGAAGUUUUCAGACGUGUCACAGCUGGAUGUGAGGAUGGGACCCACUUUCCUCUGUGAGCUGGGCCUAUUCUUUCUCUGUACGCUCCUCUGCAGCGGACACGCUCAAGAUGCUGUGCUAACUGUUAAACCCAGCUCGACCUUGUUCAUUGAAGAGACUGUUAGCUUCAAAUGUGACAUGAAGGAAGGAGAACACACUGACUGGGAAUACAAACUCAACAAGGAUGGUCGAGCCUUUAUCCAGUACAGCACAUACAAAAAUUACAGAAAACAAAUGAAGUCUCCCUCUGAUACUGGUAAAUACCAGUGCUCUGGUCAUAUGAAGAAAUCACAUUAUACAAAGAACAGUAAUACUGUCUCCCUAACUGUGCUGGCAGGUAAACCCAGGGCCACACUGACUCCAGGAUCAACUAU